CACGUAGGGCGCAAGCGUUGUCCGGAAUUAUUGGGCGUAAAGAGCUCGUAGGCGGUCUGUUACGUCUGCUGUGAAAACCCGGGGCUUAACCCCUGGCUUGCAGUGGAUACGGACAGACUAGAGGUAGGUAGGGGAGAAUGGAAUUCCCGGUGUAGCGGUGAAAUGCGCAGAUAUCGGGAGGAACACCAGUGGCGAAGGCGGCAUCCUGGACCGGCAUUGACGCUGAGGCGCGAAAGCUAGGGUAGCAAACGGG
rnacentral:rRNA from 1 species